AGGGAAUAUUGGGCAAUGGAUGCAAGUCUGACCCAGCCAUUCCGCGUGCCGGAUGAAGGCCCUCUGGGUCGUAAACGGCUUUUGAAUGGGAAGAAUAGUCACCAUGCGUGGUGAAGUGACGGUACCAUUCGAAUAAGCACCGGCUAACUCCGUGCCAGCAGCCGCGGUAAUACGGAGGGUGCGAGCGUUGUCCGGAUUUAUUGGGUUUAAAGGGUGCGUAGGUGGUUUAAUAAGUCAGUGGUGAAAUCCGGUCGCUUAACGAUCGAUGUGCCAUUGAUACUGUUUAACUUGGAUAUGUUGGAGGUUGCCGGAAUGGGUGGUGUAGCGGUGAAAUGCAUAGAGAUCACCCAGAACGCCAAUUGCGAAGGCAGGUGACUACGACAUUAUCGACACUGAGGCACGAAAGCAUGGGUAGCGAAC
rnacentral:rRNA from 1 species